rnacentral:rRNA from 1 species
CACCUCUAGCAUUACCAGUAUUAGAGGCACUGCCUGCCCAGUGACAUUAGUUUAACGGCCGCGGUAUCCUGACCGUGCAAAGGUAGCAUAAUCAUUUGUUCCUUAAUUAGGGACUUGUAUGAAUGGCCCCACGAGGGUUUAACUGUCUCUUACUUUUAAUCAGUGAAAUUGACCUUCCCGUGAAGAGGCGGGAAUACAAAAAUAAGACGAGAAGACCCUAUGGAGCUUAAAUUAAAGUGUCCAACAAAAUUCAAACUUAAUCCAACAGGAAUAAUAACAUUUUAACUGGACAACAAAUUUUGGUUGGGGUGACCUCGGAGUAUAACAAAACCUCCGAGCGAUUAUAACCAAGACUUACCCGUCAAGGUGUCAUAAUUUAUUGAUCCAAUCAUAUUGAUCAACGAAACAAGUUACCCUAGGGAUAACAGCGCAAUCCUAUUUAAGAGUCCAUAUCGACAAUAGGGUUUACGACCUCGAUGUUGGAUCAGGACCCCCAAAUGGUGCAGCAGCUAUUAAAGGUUCGUUUGUUCAACG